GGUUGACCUCGGAUCAGGUAGGGAUACCCGCUGAACUUAAGCAUAUCAAUAAGCGGAGGAAAAGAAACCAACAGGGAUUGCCCCAGUAACGGCG
rnacentral:rRNA from 1 species